AGAUAGAGGAGUGCUCGAAAGAGAGCCGUAACACAGGUGCUGCAUGGCUGUCGUCAGCUCGUGUCGUGAGAUGUUGGGUUAAGUCCCGCAACGAGCGCAACCCUUGUCAUUAGUUGCUACGAAAGGGCACUCUAAUGAGACUGCCGGUGACAAACCGGAGGAAGGUGGGGAUGACGUCAAGUCCUCAUGGCCCUUAUAGGUGGGGCUACACACGUCAUACAAUGGCUGGUACAAAGGGUUGCCAACCCGCGAGGGGGAGCCAAUCCCAUAAAGCCAGUCGUAGUCCGGAUCGCAGUCUGCAACUCGACUGCGUGAAGUCGGAAUCGCUAGUAAUCGUGGAUCAGCAUGUCACGGUGAAUACGUUCCCGGGUCUU
rnacentral:rRNA from 1 species